GAGUUUGAUCCUGGCUCAGAACGAACGCUGGCGGCAUGCCUAACACAUGCAAGUCGAACGGAUGGCAGCAAUGCCAUUAGUGGCGGACGGGUGCGUAACGCGUGGGAACUGCCCUGAAGUUCGGAAUAACUGCGGGAAACUGCAGCUAAUACCGGAUGUGGCCUGUGGGCCAAAGGGGAAACUCGCUUCAGGAGGGGCCCGCGUCCGAUUAGCUAGUUGGCGGGGUAACGGCCCACCAAGGCGAUGAUCGGUAGCUGGUCUGAGAGGACGAUCAGCCACACUGGCACUGCGACACGGGCCAGACUCCUACGGGAGGCAGCAGUAAGGAAUAUUGCGCAAUGGGCGAAAGCCUGACGCAGCGACGCCGCGUGGGGGAUGAAGGUCUUCGGAUUGUAAACCCCUUUCGGGAGGGAAGAUGGGACGAGUAAUCGUUCGGACGGUACCUCCAGAAGCAGCCACGGCCAACUUCGUGCCAGCAGCCGCGGUAAUACGAAGGUGGCAAGCGUUGUUCGGAUUCACUGGGCGUACAGGGUGUGUAGGCGGUUUGGUAAGCCUUCUGUUAAAGCUUCGGGCCCAACCCGGAAAGCGCAGAGGGUACUGCCAGGCUAGAGGGUGGGAGAGGAGCGCGGAAUUCCCGGUGUAGCGGUGAAAUGCGUAGAGAUCGGGAGGAAGGCCGGUGGCGAAGGCGGCGCUCUGGAACAUACCUGACGCUGAGACACGAAAGCGUGGGGAGCAAACAGGAUUAGAUACCCUGGUAGUCCACGCCCUAAACUAUGGAUACUAAGUGUCGGCGGGUUACCGCCGGUGCCGCAGCUAACGCAUUAAGUAUCCCGCCUGGGAAGUACGGCCGCAAGGUUGAAACUCAAAUGAAUUGACGGGG
rnacentral:rRNA from 1 species